rnacentral:rRNA from 1 species
UGGGUUUGACAUCCUCUGACCGUCUGGGAAACCAGAUUUUUCCGACUCUGUCGGAACAGAGUGACAGGUGCUGCAUGGCUGUCGUCAGCUCGUGUCGUGAGAUGUUGGGUUAAGUCCCGCAACGAGCGUAACCCUUGUCUUUAGUUGCCAGUAUUAAGUUAGGCACUCUAAAGAGACUGCCUCGGUUAACGGGGAGGAAGGUGGGGAUGACGUCAAGUCCUCAUGGCCUUUAUACCCAGGGCUACACACGUGCUACAAUGGGCUGUACAAAGGGUUGCUAAUUCGUGAGGAGGAGCUAAUCCCAAAAAGCAGCUCUCAGUUCGGAUUGGAGUCUGCAACUCGACUCCAUGAAG